GUGCCAGCAGCCGCGGUAAUACGUAGGGGACGAGCGUUGUCCGGAGUUACUGGGCGUAAAGCGCCCGCAGGCGGUGCGGCGCGUUUGCACUGACAGCGGCCAGCUUAACUGGGCGAGGCGUGCAAAGACGGCCGCACUUCGAGGGCCAGAGAGGGACAUGGAACUCCAGGUGUAGUGGUGAAAUGCGUAGAUAUCUGGAAGAACACCAAAGGCGAAGGCAGUGUCCUGGCUGGUACCUGACGCUCGGGGGCGAAAGCUAGGGGAGCGAACGGGAUUAGAUACCCGCGUAGUCC
rnacentral:rRNA from 1 species